UCACUGCCAGGAUGGGCUCAGGCCGGCACCUGGACGUCGUUAGCCGGAAAGUGCGACGAAGACGAAAACACCGGCAGCC
rnacentral:ncRNA from 1 species